AUUGAACGCUGGCGGCAGGCCUAACACAUGCAAGUCGAGCGGAUGAGAAGAGCUUGCUCUUCGAUUCAGCGGCGGACGGGUGAGUAAUGCCUAGGAAUCUGCCUGGUAGCGGGGGACAACGUUUCGAAAGGAACGCUAAUACCGCAUACGUCCUACGGGAGAAAGCAGGGGACCUUCGGGCCUUGCGCUAUCAGAUGAGCCUAGGUCGGAUUAGCUAGUUGGUGAGGUAAUGGCUCACCAAGGCGACGAUCCGUAACUGGUCUGAGAGGAUGAUCAGUCACACUGGAACUGAGACACGGUCCAGACUCCUACGGGAGGCAGCAGUGGGGAAUAUUGGACAAUGGGCGAAAGCCUGAUCCAGCCAUGCCGCGUGUGUGAAGAAGGUCUUCGGAUUGUAAAGCACUUUAAGUUGGGAGGAAGGGCAGUAAGUUAAUACCUUGCUGUUUGACGUUACCGACAGAAUAAGCACCGGCUAACUCUGUGCCAGCCGCCGCCGUAACAC
rnacentral:rRNA from 1 species